UAUACCGGCAUACGUCCUAUGGGAGAAAGCAGGCGACCUUCGGGCCUUGCGCUAUCAGAUGAGCCUAGGUCGGAUUAGUUAGUUGGUGAGGUAAAUGGCUCAACAAGGCGACGAUCCCUAACUGGUCUGAGAGGAUGAUCAGUCACACGGGAAGUGAGACACGGUCCAGACUCCUACGGGAGGCAGCAGUGGGGAAUAUUGGACGAUGGGCGAAAGCCUGAUCCAGCCAUGCCGCGUGUGUGAAGAAGGUCUUCGGAUUGUAAAGCACUUUAAGUUGGGAGGAAGGGCAGUAAGCGAAUACCUUGCUGUUUUGACGUUACCAACAGAAUAAGCACCGGCUAAGUAUGUGCCAGCAGCCGCGGUAAUACAGAGGGUGCAAGCGUUAAUCGGAAUUACUGGGCGUAAAGCGCGCGUAGGUGGUUCGUUAAGAUUGGAUGUGAAAGCCCCGGGGUCAACCAUGGGAACUGCAUCCGAAGACUGGCGG
rnacentral:rRNA from 1 species